UCCCUCCGGAACUUGUUGCUUCUGUGGAACUGCUCUUCUCAGAGGACCAACAGUGUGGAGGUUUCCAGAUGAAGCCUGUGAAGAAGGAAGAACCUGAAGAUACAGAUGAACUCAAAAUUUCAGGUGAAGGAACCUCGAUCCCUGAGGAACACCUCACCCCAGAGGACCAACAGUGUGGAGGUUUCCAGAUGAAAUCUGUGAAGAAGGAAGAAGCUGAAGAUAAAGAUGAUCUCAGUCUGUUCUGACCAUUCAACAAGGUCCCUUAGAAAGUUCCAGGAUGAGAAUCAUACAGAAGAGACUUUCUACAGCCAGUCCUCUAAAUAUCUUGUGGUUCUGUAGGAAGACGUUCUGACCUCAAGACCUCACUAACGUCUGUAAUUUCCCAGUGAAGAUCUUUGGAGAUUCUCUGGCCACCCGAGUAAUCCUCCUCAUGUUCUCCUUCAGGCAGAAUCUCAACAUCUCCAGUAGCUCCAGUGAACAGCAUGAUAAUGCAUCAAGCUUAUGCAGGUUUUUUUUAAAGCAGUCCACAUGGACCCUUACUCCAUUUCACAGCUUCUAACUCACCUGUACCAGGUCCUGGGUGUUCAGUCUAUCAGAUUAAUUCAGCUGGUACCACAAACCUGAUGGACUCUCCAUAUUCAUAUAAAGUAAAUGUUUUCUAACACCUCAGUACAGAAGAUAGGCUUUUGUUGUGAAACUGCAGAUGGAGUUGUUUUUUUUCUUUGACCCUGCAUGGUUUGCUGGGGGGCGUGUAUUCUGUGAGUAAGUGGUACUGAAAGUGUGCCGGCUGGAAUAAAGUUGGGGAUUAACUCUGA